GUUCCCUGUACCCCAACUGGGUACCUCCGCCAAGGACCGCUUCCUAGCUGGAACAGGGGACAAACCGCAGCACUUCUGCCCACAGUCGCAGUAGCUUGACUGGAACCCUGAAACCGCUCCUUCCUGGAGCCGAAUGGAGCUCUAGUCCUUACAAGGACUUUCCCCGUUGAAUCCCCUGCAAGCUGGAACAGCAGACACAGGAGUAAAUCUUCUUUCCCUCCAAACACAGGAC